UACGGGGGGGGUAAGCGUUGUUCGGAAUUACUGGGCGUAAAGGGCUCGUAGGCGGCCAACUAAGUCGGACGUGAAAUCCCUCAGCUUAACUGGGGAACUGCGUCUGAUACUGGAUGGCUUGGAUUUGGGAGAGGGAUGCGGAAUUCCAGGUGUAGCGGUGAAAUGCGUAGAUAUCAGGAGGAACACCGGUGGCGAAGGCGGUUCUCUGGGAAUGUACUGACGCUGAGGAGCGAAAGUGUGGGGAGCGAACAGG
rnacentral:rRNA from 1 species